UACAGAGGUCUCAAGCGUUUGUUCGGAUUCAUUGGGCGUAAAGGGUGCGUAGGCGGCGCGGUAAGUCGGGUGUGAAAUCUUGGAGCUUAACUCCGAAACUGCAUUCGAUACUGCCGUGCUUGAGGACUGGAGAGGAGGCUGGAAUUUACGGUGUAGCGGUGAAAUGCGUAGAUAUCGUAAGGAAGACCAGUGGCGAAGGCGGGUCUCUGGACAGUUCCUGACGCUGAGGCAACGGAAGGCCCAGGGGAGCAAAACGGG
rnacentral:rRNA from 1 species